rnacentral:lncRNA from 1 species
ACUCACCAGGGAGACAGAACCGGAAAGACCUAUUGUAAACUCUAGGCGCUCCUACCUCCGCAAUAAUACAAUAUACAUGAAAUUGGAGGAACAUGCAUGCAACUUUCUGUAGCUGCGUAUCCAUCCAAGCGGCCAAUAUGAUCGCAUAAUUCAACGCAAACGCUCAUCGUGUGCAAAUGCAAUACGCUAACGGAGACAAUUGGGAGCUCAUGAUGAGUCCUACAUGGCAAGGCUCGCUUCGCUUAGCUAGGCAAGUUGGCAAUAUGUCGCACCAUCGUGGUUUGCUAACAAUAGAUCAACAACCUUCCCAAAGGCCACCCAAGCAAUGUGGCCAUAUCAACGCACCACCCGUGUCCACCCUACGAGUUGCGUGUCAGCAAGUGAAACCGCAGAAGACGCAGCCGAAGGGUAAGACAUGUAGCAAUCCAAGGCAGGUCGGACCUGAUGCAAAUUAACACCCUUUGGAAACGGGCUCAGCCACUGCGCCACUGCGCACCAGGCAUGAGUGAUAUGAAUGAAUAUGUGCUUUCCUCUCCUGGCCCCUUUUAGGAACCUACACCGCAAAGCUCGUGCGACACGUGUCAGAGCCCCCAAGCCCGCGCUCGGCGAAUCUUUACAUGCUCAACGCGUGCCUGUAUGCCCGCUACAGAAUCCCUAACCCUGGGUGCCAUUCCGCUCUCAAAGACUCAUGCAUGGUUUCUCGAGGAUUGAAAACUUAACUUGUCUCUCAUCCUUACAUAGCUGAGUAAUAAGACGUUACAGCAAAUCUCCAGCUCCAGAAAACCUGCACUGCAUAACUAUUUUUUAACAUUUUGCAGUAAUUUCUAAACUGGUCCAAACCGGCUAUUGCGAGCCACGCACUCCACACCCAGCUGCAAAGUGGCCAACUCUACGUCUGAAUAACAAGAAGCACCCA